rnacentral:rRNA from 1 species
GCAUAUCAAUAAGCGGAGGAAAAGAAACCAACAGGGAUUGCCCUAGUAACGGCGAGUGAAGCGGCAACAGCUCAAAUUUGAAAUCUGGCUCUUUUAGAGUCCGAGUUGUAAUUUGCAGAGGGCGCUUUGGCUUUGGCAGCGGUCCAAGUUCCUUGGAACAGGACGUCACAGAGGGUGAGAAUCCCGUACGUGGUCGCUGGCUAUUGCCGUGUAAAGCCCCUUCGACGAGUCGAGUUGUUUGGGAAUGCAGCUCUAAAUGGGAGGUACAUUUCUUCUAAAGCUAAAUAUUGGCCAGAGACCGAUAGCGCACAAGUAGAGUGAUCGAAAGAUGAAAAGCACUUUGGAAAGAGAGUCAAACAGCACGUGAAAUUGUUGAAAGGGAAGCGCUUGCAGCCAGACUUGCUUGCAGUUGCUCAUCCGGGCUUUUGCCCGGUGCACUCUUCUGCAGGCAGGCCAGCAUCAGUUUGGGCGGUAGGAUAAAGGUCUCUGUCACGUACCUCUCUUCGGGGAGGCCUUAUAGGGGAGACGACAUACUACCAGCCUGGACUGAGGUCCGCGCAUCUGCUAGGAUGCUGGCGUAAUGGCUGUAAGCGGCCCGUCUUGAAACACGGACC